rnacentral:rRNA from 1 species
CCUACGGGAGGCUGCAGUGGGGAAUAUUGGACAAUGGGCGAAAGCCUGAUCCAGCCAUGCCGCGUGUGUGAAGAAGGCCUUCGGGUUGUAAAGCACUUUCAGUGGGGAAGAAAGCCUUGGGGCUAAUACCCUCGAGGAAGGACAUCACCCACAGAAGAAGCACCGGCUAACUCCGUGCCAGCAGCCGCGGUAAUACGGAGGGUGCGAGCGUUAAUCGGAAUUACUGGGCGUAAAGCGCGCGUAGGCGGUCUGAUAAGCCGGUUGUGAAAGCCCCGGGCUCAACCUGGGAACGGCAUCCGGAACUGUCAGGCUAGAGUGCAGGAGAGGAAGGUAGAAUUCCCGGUGUAGCGGUGAAAUGCGUAGAGAUCGGGAGGAAUACCAGUGGCGAAGGCGGCCUUCUGGACUGACACUGACGCUGAGGUGCGAAAGCGUGGGUAGCAAACAGGAUUAGAUACCCGAGUAGUC